rnacentral:lncRNA from 1 species
CAAGUGCAAAGAUGGGGGCGCUGAGUGACAGAGUGGAGCAUGACGGUCCUUGGGCAAACAUACUACUUCUCCGCCAAAGUAAAGCGGGCUUGAGCAAUGAAAUUAUUGUGAACUCUAGAUGAAACCACGAAGUGGACGCACCGACGAAGUGUGAUGCCGUCUCCAUGAUUACGUGCCUGAGUCCCAAAGUUGGCAGCACGAGGAGGUGUGGUGCAAGCAUGAAUGAGGGUGCAAGUUCCGUGUGGAAGACGAAAGGAGUUGCA